rnacentral:lncRNA from 1 species
AUCAAUCUGGACCGUUUAUGAAUUAGUUACUAUGCAGUCCAUUCUUCUAUAAAUAGAAGCUCAUUCCUUCAUUAUUUCUUACGAAUUCACUGAAACUCUAGAGAGAGAAACUAUAGAGAGUUCUUCUUCUAUAAUCUUGAGCGUAUUUCUUUAGAGUUUAACAAAGCUUUGAGCGUAGUGCAAGUUUUCUUCGAGUAUAUCCUCGCCUUACCAGUCGAAGUACUCUUCUUUUAAAGGUAAGGGAUAUUAUAUGUUGUACCUGUAAGGGGUAUUAUUCUUUCGUAUUCAUGAAGAGAACUUCUGCUAUUCCAUUCUUUAUUAUUCUGUUGGAAUAACCUGUAUACGCGAAUUACCGUAUACCUGGUGAUUUCUGUUGUUAUUAUAUUCUUUAUUAUUCUGUCGGAAUAUCCUGUCGGUUCGUACUAUGCCUGACCUGGUUCUAUUAUUUAUUAUUCUGUUGGAAUAACCUGUCUGUGUGGUCUAUCGCAUGCAUGGUGAUUUCUGUUGUUAUUCCAUUCUUUAUUAUUCUGUUGGAAUAACCUGUCUGUGUGGUCUAUCGCAUGCAUGGUGAUUUCUGUUGUUAUUCCAUUCUUUAUUAUUCUGUUGGAAUAUCCUGUAGGUGCGAAUUUUGCCUGACCUGGUUUCGUUCUUUAUUAUUCUUUUGGAAUAACCUGUCUGUGCGGUCUAUCGCAUGCAUGGUGAUUUCUAUUGUUAUUCCAUUCUUUAUUAUUCUGUCAGAAUAUCCUAUCUGUGCAUUUACGCCGGACCUGGUUACAUUAUUUAUUAUUCUAUUGGGAAUAACCUGUCUGUGCAGUCUAUCGCACGCAUGGUGAAUUCUUCUGUUAUUCAAUUCUUUAUUAUUUUGUUGGAAUAACCUGUCUAUGUGGAUUACCACAUGCAUGGUGAAUGAUCCUUUGUAUUUCAUUCCUUAUUAAAUUGUGGAAAUGAUCAGUUUACGUGGAUUAUGAUGAAAGUCAUAAUAAAAGCAUUGGACUGAUGAAAAUCAUGGGUAUAUGUGGUAUUAGUAAGUGUUAUAAUGAGUUAUGUUGGUUAUUAUGUGAAAACAUGAAAGUUUCUUAGAAAUCACAAAGGGUUGAAAAAUUAGAUUUUGGUAAAAAUGGAACAUGAAAUUCAAUUGACCAUAUCUCCUAUUAUAUUUCAAAUUUUUGAGUGUGGUCAAGUUUUAGAAUUAGAUCUAUGAGUUUUCAAACUUAUCCAAGUGGAAUCACUGGAAAAGGUAUUGUAGAUUUUCGUGUGGGCUGAUUUUAGCGAAGGAGUCAAAAACUGACAAUUUCAAAAAAGCUACUGCCCAUAUUUUUAAAAUGGCAUUUUCGGCCAUUUAAAUUGUGAGAAAAAUUCUGGACUUUUGGGACAUGAAAAUAUAUGGUAUGAAGUACCUACUGUACAAAAAUGAGCUCAUUCCGACUUAAAAUGAGCAAGUUAUGACCAUUUCAAUAUUUAGGUUUUUUCGACGAAAAAUGCUAUAACCGUAGUUCUAUAAAUCCGAUGACUAUGAAAUUUAAACUGGAAGCUCACGUUAACAUGUGUAAGAUCCUGCCAAGAUUUGAGAAUUUCUGGAGUUAAACUUGAGGUAACUAAUUUCUUAAGGAAUUAAUUAGAAAUUGAUUUUUGAAAAAUAGUAAAUGAAUUUUAAAAAUUUCGAGAAAAAUAUAUGUUCAAUAUGGGACUAUAUUCUGCCUAAUCCCAGAAAAGAAUAAUUUUUGGCACUGAUUUGGUAUUUUUCCUGAAAAUAGUUUAGUUACGAACAUAUGAGUUAAAUAUGUUAUGUGAUGUCGAAGAAUUGGUAAAUAGGAUUUUAGGGCUUGAAAAUCCUAUAUAAAGUAUGUGCAGAUUUUUGAUGAGUAAUUUGAUUAUUGGUGAUGAAAUCUUAUGAGUAUGAC